CUACGGGGCGCUCCAGUGAGGAAUUUUGCGCAAUGGGGGAAACCCUGACGCAGCAACGCCGCGUGAGCGAAGAAGGCCUUCGGGUCGUAAAGCUCUGUCAAGUGGGAAAAAAAUUCUUUGAUCAAUAGUCAAAGGACUUGAUGGUACCACUGGAGGAAGCACCGGCUAACUCCGUGCCAGCAGCCGCGGUAAUACGGAGGGUGCAAGCGUUGUUCGGAAUUACUGGGCGUAAAGAGCGUGUAGGCGGUUUGGCAAGUCAGAUGUGAAAGCCCUGGGCACAACCUGGGAAGUGCAUUUGAAACUGCUUGACUAGAGUAUUGGCGAGGGGAUUGGAAUUCCUGGUGUAGAGGUGAAAUUCGUAGAUAUCAGGAGGAACACCCGUUGCGAAGGCGAUUCUCUGGACCAAUACUGACGCUGAGACGCGAAAUCGUGGGGAGCAAACAGGAUUAGAUACCCGGGUAGUC
rnacentral:rRNA from 1 species